rnacentral:rRNA from 1 species
UACGUAGGGUGCGAGCGUUAAUCGGAAUUACUGGGCGUAAAGCGUGCGCAGGCGGUUCUGCGUGUCUGAUGUGAAAGCCCCGGGCUCAACCUGGGAAUGGCAUUGGAAACUGGCGGACUAGAGUGUGGCAGAGGGGGGUGGAAUUCCGCGUGUAGCAGUGAAAUGCGUAGAGAUGAGGAGGAACACCGAUGGCGAAGGCAGCCCCCUGGGCUAACACUGACGCUCAGGCACGAAAGCGUGGGGAGCAAACAGG